rnacentral:lncRNA from 1 species
AAGUGGGUGACGUUGAUCAAGGCACUGGGCUCACACGGGCCGCACCCCGCGUGAUCUGUUGUCUCCAGGCAGACUGCCCCACUUGGGUCGAUUCUUUGAUCCCUGCUUCCCAUAUGGCAGGCCAGGGACUGGAGCUUAUUAUCUUACCGGACAAUCUAUAAGGUGCUAGCUGCAUUCCUGGCCUGGGAGAAGGGAGCCUGUCCGACCCCCCAUGUCAUGCUGGAUGGCUUUGCAGAGGUGCCUCACCUGAUCCUGGAUGGAUGUCAUCACCCUACAGUGGUCCUUUCAUGACAGGCCACAGGGCCACCAUGUGAUGAACAGGAUACAUCUGCCACGACUGGGAGGUGGGGCUGCUUCCCAAAGGACCCUGUGCCAGCCCAGUCUCUGUGGUGACUUGGUUCCAGGGGAGGCCGCACUUGACAGCACCUCCCUUAAUGAGGAGGUGUCUAUACAGAUCUAGGCCCGAAGAUGCUGCUGCAGUGUGUGCAAUAACAAAAGCUGUGACCUUAACAUUCAGGGACAGAGGAUGGGACCGGAGGCACAUCACAGUAACAUAACAGGAUGCCAUAUUGCCGUAAAAACGACAUUCAUGCAGAAUUUUAAUGGUGUAGGGGAACGGUGUGUGGUAUAACCGUGUGUAAAACCGAGGAUACGUGGAUAUAUGCAUGUAGAUAACUUCAACAAGGAGCAAUGAAGAAACCCAACGGUGUGCCCUGUGCGAACUCCACGGGAUUGAAGCACAUGCAGGAAGAAAACAGGACAGGUGGAGGAGAUAUCUCAGUCGGCAUCUGUGUGCAGGCCUGAGGGCGUGAGUUCAAUUCUCGGACCCCACACGAAAAAGCCAGGCGUGAUAGCACGUGCUUGCAACUCCCGGCACGGAAGAGGUGGACAUGG